rnacentral:rRNA from 1 species
AGAGUUUGAUUCUGGCUCAGAACGAACGCUGGCAGCGUGGAUUAGGCAUGCAAGUCGAACGAGAAUCUAUUGAUUCAAUCCUUCGGGAGAGAAUCGGUGGAGGACAGUGGCGGAAGGGUGAGUAACGCGUGGGCAAUCUGCCUUGAAGUUGGGGAUAACCUGGCGAAAGCCGGGCUAAUACCGGAUGUGGUCCCUUGGCGCAUGUCGAGGUGACUAAAGGUGGGGCUUCCGAUUCGUCGGAACCUGCCGCUUCUAGAGGAGCCCGCGUCCUAUCAGCUUGUUGGUGAGGUAACGGCUCACCAAGGCUUACGGGUAGCUGGUCUGAGAGGAUGGUCAGCCACACUGGGACUGAGACACUGCCCAGACUCCUACGGGAGGCUGCAGUCGAGGAUCACUCGCAAUGCGCGAAAGCGUGACGAUGCGACGCUGCGUGGAGGAUGACGGCCUUUGGGUUGUAAACUCCUGUCAUUCGGGAACAAUGGUCUCGUGGUGAAUAUCCACGGGGCGUGAUGGUACCGGAAGAGGAAGCCACGGCUAACUCUGUGCCAGCAGCCGCGGUAAUACAGAGGUGGCGAGCGUUGUUCGGAUUUACUGGGCGUAAAGGGUGUGUAGGUGGCUUCGUAAGUCGGAUGUGAAAUCUCACUGCUCAGCGGUGAAACGGCAUUCGAAACUGCGGGGCUAGAGUGCAGGAGGGGAAAGCGGAAUUCUUGGUGUAGCGGUGGAAUGCGUUGAUAUCAAGAAGAACACCAGUGGCGAAGGCGGCUUUCUGGAAUGCUACUGACACUGAAACACGAAAGUUGGGGGAGCAAACAGGAUUAGAUACCCUGGUAGUCCCAACCGUAAACGGUGUACACUUGGUGUGGGGGGAUUUGACCCCCCCCGUGCCGGAGCUAACGCGAUAAGUGUACCGCCUGGGGAGUACGGCCGCAAGGCUAAAACUCAAAGAAAUUGACGGGGGCCCGCACAAGCGGAGGAGCAUGUGGCUUAAUUCGAUGCAACGCGAAGAACCUUACCAGGGCUUGACAUGCAGCUGCACGCCCCGGGAAACCGGGGAAGCCUUCGAGGGUGCUGCACAGGUGCUGCAUGGCUGUCGUCAGUUCGUGCCGUGAGGUGUUGGGUUAAGUCCCGCAACGAACGCAACCCUUGUGUUUAGUUGCCACCGCAGGUGUUAAGCUUGCGAGCACUCUAAACAGACUGCCCGUGUAAGCGGGAGGAAGGUGGGGAUGACGUCAAGUCAGUAUGGCCUUUAUGUCCUGGGCUGCACACGUGCUACAAUGGUCGGUACAGAGGGAUGCAAGACCGCGAGGUGGAGCCAAUCCUGAAAGCCGAUCCCAGUUCGGAUUGGAGUCUGCAAUUCGACUCCAUGAAGUUGGAUUCGCUAGUAAUGGCGUAUCAGCUACGACGCCGUGAAUACGUUCCCGGGCCUUGUACACACCGCCCGUCACAUCAUGAAAGCUCUGUGCACCCGAAGUCGCCGAUCCUACUCGCUUUUAGUGAGAGGCAGGCGCCGAAGGUGUGUGGAGUGAUUGGGAUGAAGUCGUAACAAGGUA